rnacentral:tRNA from 1 species
GCCGACGUAGCUCAGCUGGUAGAGCAGUUGAUUCGUAAUCAUCAGGUCGCCAGUUCAAAUCUGGCCGUCGGCUCCA